rnacentral:rRNA from 1 species
AUCUACGGCCAUGCCACCCCGAACACGCCUGAUCUUAUCUGAUUUUGGAAGCUGAGCAGUGUCGGGCCUGGUUAAUACUCGGAUGGGAGACCACCUAGGAAGACCAGGUGUUGUAAGCU